GCGGGGAUAGCUCAGUUGGAAGAGUGUCAGACUGAAGAUCUAAAGGUCACGUGUUCGAGCCACGUUCACUGCA